CCUACGGGGGGCUGCAGUGGGGAAUAUUGGACAAUGGGCGAAAGCCUGAUCCAGCCAUGCCGCGUGUGUGAAGAAGGCCUUCGGGUUGUAAAGCACUUUCAGUGGGGAAGAAAGCCUUGGGGCUAAUACCCUCGAGGAAGGACAUCACCCACAGAAGAAGCACCGGCUAACUCCGUGCCAGCAGCCGCGGUAAUACGGAGGGUGCGAGCGUUAAUCGGAAUUACUGGGCGUAAAGCGCGCGUAGGCGGUCUGAUAAGCCGGUUGUGAAAGCCCCGGGCUCAACCUGGGAACGGCAUCCGGAACUGUCAGGCUAGAGUGCAGGAGAGGAAGGUAGAAUUCCCGGUGUAGCGGGGAAAUGCGUAGAGAUCGGGAGGAAUACCAGUGGCGAAGGCGGCCUUCUGGACUGACACUGACGCUGAGGUGCGAAAGCGUGGGUAGCAAACAGGAUUAGAUACCCUGUAGUC
rnacentral:rRNA from 1 species